AUGGGGGGAUAUGGGGGAUGUGGGGGUAUAUGGGGUCUCUAUGGGGGGAUAUGGGGUUAUGUGGGGUCUAUAGGGUGCUAUUGGGUUAUGGGGUAAAUGGGAUUAUGGGGCACAAUGGGACACAAUGGGGCAUAAUGGGGUUAUGGGGUCCCACUGGCACACAAUGGGGUUAUGGGGUCCCAAUGGGACACAAUGGGACACAAUGGGGUUAUGGGGUCCCAAUGGGGUCCCAAUGGGACCUAAUGGGGUUAUGGGGUCCCAAUGGGACCCAAUGGGGUUAUGGGGUUCCAAUGGGGUCCUAAUGGGACACAAUGGGGUUAUGGGGUCCCAGUGGGACACAAUGGGGCACAAUGGGUUUCUGGGGUCCCAAUGGGGUCCCAAUAGGUUCCCAAUGGGACACAAUGGGGUUAUGGGGUCCCAGUGGCACACAGUGGGGUUAUGUGGUCCCAAUGGGGUCCCGAUGGUGACACAAUGGGGUUACGGGGUCCCAACGGGGUCCCAAUGGAACUGAAUGGGACACAAUGGGGUUAUGGGGUCCCAAUGGGGUCCCGAUGGAGACACAAUGGGACCCAAUGGGGUUAUGGGGUCCCAAUGGGACACAAUGGGUUUCUGGGGUCCCAAUGGGACAGAGUGGGAUACAAUGGGAUUUUGGGGUCCCAAGGGGACACAAUGGGACCCAAUGGGGUUAUGGGGUCCCAAUGGGGUCCCAAUGGGACACAAUGGGGUUAUGGGGUCCCAGUGAGACACAAUGGGACACAAUGGGGUUAUGGGGUCCCAAUGGGACACAGUGGGGUUAUGGGCUCCCCAUGGGGUCCCGAUGGGGUCUGAAUGGGACACAAUGGGGUUAUGGGUUCCCAGGGGCACACAAUGGGGUUAUGGGUCCCAAUGGGGUCCCAAUGGGACACAAUGGAGUUAUGGGGUCCCAAUGGGACACAAUGGGGUUAUGGGGUCCCAAUGGGACACAAUGGGACACAAUGGGGUUAUGUGGUCCCAGUGGGACACAAUGGGCCACAAUGGGGUUAUGGGCUCCCCAUGGGGUCCCAAUGGGACACAAUGGGAUUAUGGGGUCCCAGUGGGGUCCCAAUGGAGACACAAUGGGGUUAUGGGGUCCCAAUGGGGUCCCAAUGGAACUGAAUGGGACACAAUGGGGUUAUGGGGUCCCAGUGGCACACAAUGGGGUUAUGGGUCCCAAUGGGGUCCCAAUGGGACACAAUGGGACACAAUGGGGUUAUGGGGUCCCAGUGGCACACAAUGGGGUUAUGGGUCCCAAUGGGGUCCCAAUGGGAUCUAAUGGGGUUAUGGGGUCCCAAUGGGACACAAUGGGGUUAUGGGUUCCCAGGGGCACACAAUGGGGUUAUGGGUCCCAAUGGGGUCCCAAUGGGACACAAUGGCGUUAUGGGGUCCCAGUUGGACACAAUGGAGUUAUGGGUCCCAAUGGGGUCCCAAUGGGGACUGAAUGGGACACAAUGGGGUUAUGGGUCCCAAUGGGACACAAUGGGGCACAAUGGGACACAAUGGGGUUAUGUGGUCCCAAUGGGACACAAUGGGCCACAAUGGGGUUAUGGGUCCCAAUGGGGUCCCAAUGGGACACAAUGGGGUUACGGGGUCCCAAUGGGGUCCCAAUGGAACUGAAUGGGACAUAAUGGGGUUAUGGGGUCCCAGUGGCACACAAUGGGGUUAUGGGUCCCAAUGGGGUCCCAAUGGGACACAAUGGGGUUAUGGGAUCCCAAUGGGACACAGUGGGGCUAUGGGCUCCCCAUGGGGUCCCAAUGGGACACAAUGGGUUUCUGGGGUCCCAAUGGGGUCCCAAUGGGACACAAUGGAGUUAUGGGGUCCCAGUGGCACACAAUGGGGUUAUGGGCUCCCCAUGGGGUCCCGAUGGGGACUGAAUGUGUCACAACGGGGUUCCCCAGCAGGAGGCAGCCGACGGGGCCGUUCCGGGGCCGCUGCCCCCCGGGCUGCAGGCUGUGGGGUUCGCCCCACGGGGCCGCCUGCGGGUGCUGGGAGCUCGCAGGGAGCUGGCGGGGCCCUACGAGUGCCGCGUGGACAAUGGGGUCGCGCCCUCGGCACGGGCCAUCGUCAGGAUGGUGGUCAGAUGUGAGUGGGGGGCGUGGGGGCGGGCAGGGGGACAUCGUGGGGAGGGGCAUGGGGACAUUGUGGGGACAUGGGGACAUCGUGGGGACGGACCUGGGGACACUGUGGGGACAUGGGGACAUUCAUAGGGACAUUGUG
rnacentral:lncRNA from 1 species